rnacentral:rRNA from 1 species
CAGCCGCCGCGGUAAUACGAAGGGUGCAAGCGUUAAUCGGAAUUACUGGGCGUAAAGCGUGCGUAGGCGGUGAGUUAAGUCUGUUGUGAAAUCCCCGGGCUCAACCUGGGAAUGGCAAUGGAUACUGGCAAGCUAGAGUGUGUCAGAGGAUGGUGGAAUUCCCGGUGUAGCGGUGAAAUGCGUAGAGAUCGGGAGGAACAUCAGUGGCGAAGGCGGCCAUCUGGGACAACACUGACGCUGAGGCACGAAAGCGUGGGGAGCAAACAGGAUUAGAUACCCCAGUAGUCCCUGUCUCUUAUAC